CAGUGGUGACAGUGGGGCUACGGCACCUGGAGAAACGCUGCGAGCAUAAACAAAAGUGCCAGGAAGUGCAGGGAAGACAGGAGCGUACGAGCGAGAAGCGAGCAGUGCAGAUAUUCAGACCCGCGCUGGAAGAGACACCGGCCUCUGAAACGUCCCCAGAAAAGGAUUCGCCGUUUUUGACAAAUGACAGCAAAAUAGACAUUGAUUGCCAAUAAUUGAAGGGCAACACAUGCAUUGUCCCUGGCCAGGAAGGACAGAUGCUAUCUACUCUUCAGUCAUAUCCUGACACAAAUAGCAGCGGAGAAAGCUCAUUCCAUGCUGAGAGAAAGAAAGGAAAAAGUUGUUGCAGGAAGUUGACCAGAUAGAAGGCAGGAGGAGUGUCAACCCCCUGGCAACCAGACAAGACGAAAAUCAACUGUCCACCCCCAUACAUACUGUGCUGUCUAGUGUACCAAGACUACCAAGAGCCUGCCGACUGAUAGGAACAAAAAUACCAGGGGAAUCCAAAGGCAGGAUGCCCAUUAGUGCUGAUGCCCGUUAAGGAGUCUACAAAUGAAUGAAGGCGGCUGACUGCUGUGCUGUUACACAAAUCGCCAUUAAGGGACUGAAAUCCUCAAAAUGUCAAACCACUGACUUGCCAAAUUGCUAGUUGUCUGUCUCAGUUAUGUGACCUUUUGCUCACAAUGGCCAAUGAUUCUUCUGCAUAAUAUUUUUACAUAUAUAUACACUAAAUGCUCAUUGCUAUAAAAGCUGGUUUUAAUCUGGCUCAGGAAAAUAUAUGUUUCUCUAUUAUUGUUAUUACCUUUUUGUCAAUGCGUGUAUGCACUACAUAAAUAGUAUGGAAGUA